UAGAUACCCGGGUAGUCCUAGGUGUAAACGCUGUGGACUUGAUGUUGGGGGUGCUCCGAGCACUCUCAGUGUCGAAGCGAAGGUGAUAAGUCCACUGCCUGGGAAGUACGGUCGCAAGGCUGAAACUUAAAGGAAUUGGCGGGGGAGCACCGCAACCUGAGGAUUGUGCGGUUUAAUUGGAUUCAACGCCGGAAAACUCACCAUAGCCGACGGACAAAUGAAGGUCAGUGUAAUGAACUUACCGGAUUGUUCGAGAGGUAGUGCAUGGCCGCCGUCAGUUCGUACCGCAAGGCGUUCUGUUAAGUCAGAUAACGAACGAGACCCUCAUCUCUAUUUGCUAACUGGAUCUCCGGAUUCAGUGCACUAUAGGGAGACCACUGGCGCUAAGUCAGAGGAAGGGGAGGGCAACGGUAGGUCAGUAUGCUCCGAAUGCUAUGGGCUACACGCGCAAUACAAAGGACGGGACAAUGGGCUGCUGCUCCGAAAGGAACGAUAGCUAUCCCGAAACCCGUUCGUAGUUCGGAUUGAGGGCUGUAACUCGCCCUCAUGAAGCUGGAUUAGGUAGUAAUCGCGCCUGCUGCACCCCGU
rnacentral:rRNA from 1 species